rnacentral:rRNA from 1 species
AGUGAACGCUGGCGGUAGGCCUAACACAUGCAAGUCGAACGGCAGCACAGUAAGAGCUUGCUCUUACGGGUGGCGAGUGGCGGACGGGGGAGGAAUACAUCGGAAUCUACUUUUUCGUGGGGGAUAACGGAGGGAAACUUACGCUAAUACCGCAAACGACCUACGGGGGAAAGCAGGGGAUCUUCGGACCUUGCGCGGUUGAAUGAGCCGAUGUCGGAUUAGCUAGUUGGCGGGGUAAAGGCCCACCAAGGCGACGAUCCGUAGCUGGUCUGAGAGGAUGAUCAGCCACACUGGAACUGAGACACGGUCCAGACUCCUACGGGAGGCAGCAGUGGGGAAUAUUGGACAAUGGGCGCAAGCCUGAUCCAGCCAUACCGCGUGGGUGAAGAAGGCCUUCGGGUUGUAAAGCCCUUUUGUUGGGAAAGAAAAGCAGCAGGUUAAUACCCCGCUGUUCUGACGGUACCCAAAGAAUAAGCACCGGCUAACUUCGUG